GCACAAGCGGUGGAUGAUGUGGAUUAAUUCGAUGCAACGCGAAAACCUUACCUACCCUUGACAUGUCCGGAAUCCCGAAGAGAUUUGGGAGUGCUCGCAAGAGAACCGGAACACAGGUGCUGCAUGGCUGUCGUCAGCUCGUGUCGUGAGAUGUUGGGCUAAGUCCCGCAACGAGCGCAACCCUUGUCAUUAGUUGCCAUCAUUUGGUUGGGCACUCUAAUGAGACUGCCGGUGACAAACCGGAGGAAGGUGGGGAUGACGUCAAGUCCUCAUGGCCCUUAUGGGUAGGGCUUCACACGUCAUACAAUGGUCGGUACAGAGGGUUGCCAACCCGCGAGGGGGAGCUAAUCCCACAAAGCCGAUCGUAGUCCGGAUCGCAGUCUGCAACUCGACUGCGUGAAGUCGGAAUCGCUAGUAAUCGUGGAUCAGCAUGUCACGGUGAAUACGUUCCCGGGUCUU
rnacentral:rRNA from 1 species